UCCUGGAGUGUCAUAGAUCAGGGUUGAGAUGAUUCCAUCAUACUUAUACGAAGAUUUUCCUAGCAAGGAAUGGUUUGAACAAUGUUGUGAUUAGGCAAGGGAUAAUGGGUACUUGCUCUGUGAUAACUCAAAAAUAAUGAGUCU